rnacentral:rRNA from 1 species
AGGUAGCGAAAUUCCUUGUCAGGUAAGUUCUGACCCGCACGAAAGGUGUAACGAUUUGGGCGCUGUCUCGGCAGCAGACUCGGUGAAAUCUUAGUACCUGUGAAAAUGCAGGUUACCCGCAACUAGACGGAAAGACCCCAUGGAGCUUUACUGCAGCCUGAUAUUGAAUUCUGGUCAUACAUGUACAGGAUAGGUGGGAGACAAAGAGACGUGCACGCCAGUGUACGAGGAGUCGACGUUGGGAUACCACUCUUGUGUGACCGGGGUUCUAACCUGGUAUCGAGAACAGGUACGGGGAGAGUGUCAGGUGGGCAGUUUGACUGGGGCGGUCGCCUCCCAAAGAGUAACGGAGGCGCCCAAAGGUACGCUCAGAUUGGAUGGAAACCAAUCGUCGAGUGCAAUUGCAGAAGCGUGCUUGACUGUGAGACAAACAAGUCGAACAGGGACGAAAGUCGGGAAUAGUGAUCCGGCGGUGCCGAAUGGAAGGGCCGUCGCUCAACGGAUAAAAGCUACCCUGGGGAUAACAGGCUGAUCUCGCCCAAGAGUUCACAUCGACGGCGAGGUUUGGCACCUCGAUGUCGGCUCAUCGCAUCCUGGAGCUGGAUUCGGUUCCAAGGGUUGGGCUGUUCGCCCAUUAAAGCGGUACGCGAGCUGGGUUCAGAACGUCGUGAGACAGUUCGGUCCCUAUCUGUUGUGGGCGAAGGAGAUCUGCGGAGAGCUGUCCUCAGUACGAGAGGACCGGGAUGGACCUACCGCUGGUGCACCGGUUGUUCCGCCAGGGGCAUAGCCGGGUAGCUAAGUAGGGAAAGGAUAAGCGCUGAAAGCAUCUAAGCACGAAGCCUACUCCAAGAUGAGAUCUCCCAUUCGCAAGAAGUAAGACCCCUUAAAGACGAUAAGGUAGAUAGGCCAGGGAUGGAAGUGCAGUGAUGUACGGAGUUGACUGGUACUAAUCGGUCGAGGACUUAAUCAG